rnacentral:rRNA from 1 species
CGUUCUCGAUCCUUGUACACACCGCCCGUCAAGUCAGCCGAGUUGGCAAUGCCCGAAUUCUGAUUUUUUAUUCGGAACACGGUAGGGUCAGCAAGGAGGACU